GACAUCAUUGAAAUAAAUGCAGUGUUUAAUACAAGAGUGUAUAACUUUUAAUUCUUUUGCUGGAAAGCUGAUACACAAGGAUUGAUAGUAGUGUUGAUUUUCAACAAUGAAGUCAACAUUUUUGUCAUACUCACGAUAUAACACAAAAAAUGUUCAGCUAAUAUGAAAAAUGUAUCAGGUUGGCUAGUAACUUCUUCCUGAGCACAUGCAAGUAUUAAUGAAAGUAUAACAUGGCGGUAUUUAGAGGAUCUUUUGGCCUUAGCAAUGUUAUUGGAAAUUACCGCAAUUUUCUAUCACCAAGGAUAUGUGUAACAAGUUACAACAGAUGUUUAUCCGCAAAGGGGAAAAUGACAGAAGAAGAAAUUGGUCUCCCACCACGUCCAAAGAAACCACUUCCACCAUUUUUUAGAUAUCUUGAAAUGAAAAGACCUACAGCAAAACUGGAGCAUCCUGAGUUAAAAUUGACUGAACUUACCAAAUUGUUAUCUGAGGGUUGGGCAACGUUUGAUCCUAUGCAAAAGGACAUGAUGCAAAAGCAGUAUGAUCAGGAGAUGCUUCUUUAUGCAAAGAGUUUUUCAGAGUACAAAAAGUCAAUCACUCCAGAGCAAAAGUUAAAAAUCAAGUUAGCAAAAGAACAGAAAAAAAUUUCCAAGGAGAAAUCAAAAGAUCGCCAAAAAAACGCAUCGUUUGGAAAGCCAAAAAAGCCAAUGUCUUCAUUUUUGCGAUACAUUCAAAGCAGGAAACAUGAAUACGACAAGACGAAGAUAAGCUACAAAGAUUUUUUAAACAGUGUAAAACAAGAAUACAAUGCAUUGCCAGAGAGUAAAAAGGUAGAAUUACGUGAGGAAUUUAUGAAGGAUCUACAGGAGUAUAAAGUGGCUAUUAUUGAGUGGGAAAAGAAAAUGAUAAAGUUAGGAUACCCUGAUGUUGUGAGAAAUUCUUCUACCUUAAACAUCCCUCAAACAUAUAAAUAGGAAAUCGGGUGCCCCACCCACUCAACCGUCUAUGACGAUCUUGAAGUUUUGAGCCCCCCGGAAUCCCUAUCGGAUAACAACACCUUGGGCUGGGGCACGGGUAACGUUCCAGAUACCUACCAUAAAGUUCAAAGUUCAUGUUCCCAUACUGAUAAUACACCAAUGACAUCCACAAAUAAAAGGAAUGUGUCUCAGAUGAAUACAUUGCCUGAGAAAUCAAUCAUUCAGAAAGAUAAAGAAUACAUGGAGAUUAUUAAUAUUUCAUCGGACUUGCCAAUGAAGAGCACCGGAAAUAGCAACAAGAGGUUGAUAACGCAUGUGAAAAAAUCUGAUUCUCUUUCAAAAAUUAAUCAUGACCAUACAUCGCAGAUACUUUCGUUACAUAAAACAAAGUCCGAUAUUAUCGAAUCGUCAACCAGUUUGAACGAAACAAAGACAUUUAAGGAUAAUCUUUUAGCACAUAACGAGAAUAACAUGGUUGACUUGGAUACACGCUCAAAGUCAAAUUCAAAAAAGCAAAAUACCUGUGACGAAGUACCAGAAGAACAUGCUUUGCCACGGAUGGACAAACCGAUCUAGCGAGAAUGCAUACUAUACCGUUCACGUAUAAAAAGUUCAUCGAAUAUUUUUUAAGUGAAUAGUUUAAUUAGUGCGAAUGAUUUAAUAGAAUGCGAAAUUCAUGUCACGUUAAGUCAUAUAACUGUUCUGGCUGAUAACA